UACGUAGGGUGCGAGCGUUGUCCGGAUUUAUUGGGCGUAAAGAGCGUGUAGGCGGCUAGGUAGGUCCGUUGUGAAAACUCGAGGCUCAACCUCGAGACGUCGAUGGAAACCAUCUAGCUAGAGUCCGGAAGAGGAGAGUGGAAUUCCCGGUGUAGCGGUGAAAUGCGCAGAUAUCAGGAGGAACACCAAUGGCGAAGGCAGCACUCUGGGACGUGACUGACGCUGAGACGCGAAAGCGUGGGGAGCAAACAGG
rnacentral:rRNA from 1 species